rnacentral:rRNA from 1 species
GAGACAGCAGUCGCCGCGGUAACACGUAGGUCCCGAGCAUCGUCCGGAUUUAUUGGGCGUAAAGCGAGCGCAGGCGGUUAGAUAAGUCUGAAGUUAAAGGCUGUGGCUUAACCAUAGUACGCUUUGGAAACUGUUUAACUUGAGUGCAAGAGGGGAGAGUGGAAUUCCAUGUGUAGCGGUGAAAUGCGUAGAUAUAUGGAGGAACACCGGUGGCGAAAGCGGCUCUCUGGCUUGUAACUGACGCUGAGGCUCGAAAGCGUGGGGAGCAAACAGGAUUAGAUACCCCCGUAGUCCCUGUCUCUUAUACA